rnacentral:rRNA from 1 species
GAUGAACGCUGGCGGCGUGCUUAACACAUGCAAGUCGAACGGAAAGGCUCCUGCUUGCAGGGGUACUCGAGUGGCGAACGGGUGAGUAACACGUGGGUGAUCUGCCCUGCACUUCGGGAUAAGCUUGGGAAACUGGGUCUAAUACCGGAUAGGACCGCAUUUUGGAUGGUGUGGUGGAAAGUUUUUUCGGUGUGGGAUGAGCUCGCGGCCUAUCAGCUUGUUGGUGGGGUAAUGGCCUACCAAGGCGUCGACUGGUAGCCGGCCUGAGAGGGUGUACGGCCACAUUGGGACUGAGAUACGGCCCAGACUCCUACGGGAGGCAGCAGUGGGGAAUAUUGCACAAUGGGCGCAAGCCUGAUGCAGCGACGCCGUGUGGGGGAUGACGGCCUUCGGGUUGUAAACUCCUUUCGCUAGGGACGAAGAGUAAUUGACGGUACCUGGAGAAGAAGCACCGGCUAACUACGUG